rnacentral:rRNA from 1 species
GUCCACGCCGUAAACGUUGGGCACUAGGUGUGGGACUCUAUCGACGGGUUCCGUGCCGUAGCUAACGCAUUAAGUGCCCCGCCUGGGGAGUACGGCCGCAAGGCUAAAACUCAAAGGAAUUGACGGGGCCCGCACAAGCGGCGGAGCAUGUGGCUUAAUUCGAUGCAACGCGAAGAACCUUACCUGGGUUGAACUAUGCAGGAAAAGCCGUAGAGAUACGGUGUCCUUCGGGGCCUGCGAUAGGUGGUGCAUGGCUGUCGU